rnacentral:rRNA from 1 species
UACGGAGGAUGCAAGCGUUAUCCGGAAUGAUUGGGCGUAAAGCGUCCGCAGGUGGCAAUGUAAGUCUGCUGUUAAAGAGUCUAGCUCAACUAGAUAAAAGCAGUGGAAACUACAUAGCUAGAGUACGUUCGGGGCAGAGGGAAUUCCUGGUGUAGCGGUGAAAUGCGUAGAGAUCGGGAAGAACAUCGGUGGCGAAAGCGCUCUACUGGGCCAUAAUUGACACUCAGGGACGAAAGCUAGGGGAGCGAAUGGG